CAAUUCAUAGUACGCAUAUAGAGCACAAAUAUUUAUGUCUCUGGUGGUACACAAAGUAGAGUCACACCAUUGUGUAUUCAUACAUGUACUUAGGGUAAUGAUGUCCAUCUCAUUCCACCAUCUUCCUUAACCCCAUACCUCCUCCUUUCCCCACCCUUCCUUUUGUCCUAUCUAAAAUUCCUCCAUUCAGUCCCAUGCUCUUCCAACAUCCCCAUUAUGGAUCAGCAACCUCAAAUCAGGGAAAAUAAUCAGCCUUUGUUUUUUUGGAAUUGGCUUACUUCAUUAGCAUAAUAUUCUCUAGCUCCAUCCAUUUACCCGAAAAUGCCAUGAUUUUCUUCUCUUUUAAUGCUUAGUAGUAUUCCAUUGUGUAUAUAUUCUACAUUUUCUUUAUCCAUUCAUCUACUGAAGGGUUUCUAGGUUGGUUCCAUAAUUUAGCUAUUGUGAAUUGUGUUGCUAUAAACAUUGAUGUGACUGUAUCACUGUAGUAUGCUAUUUUUAAGUCCUUUUGGUAUAAACCGAGGAGUGGGAUAGCUGGGUCAAAUGGUGGUUCCAUUUCCAGUUUCCCAAGGAAUCUCCAUAUUGCUUUUCAGAUUGGCUGCACCAAUUUGCAGUCCCACCAGCAGUGUAUGAGUGUAGCUUUCCCCCCCACUCCUCACUACCACUUAUCAUUGUUUGUAUUCUUAAUAGCUGUCAUUCUGAUUGGAGUGAGAUGAUAUCUUAGAGUAGUUUUGAUUUGCAUUUCUCUAAUUGCUAGAGAUGUUGAACAUUUUUUCAUUUAUUUGUUGAUUGAUUAUAUAUCAUCUUCUAAGAAGUGUCUGUUUAGUUUUUUGGCCCAUUUAUUGAUUUUGUUGUUGUUGUUGUUGUUGUUAUUAUUAUUUUGGUGUUAAGAUUUUUUAGUUCUUUAUAAGUCCUAGGGAUUCGUGCACUAUCUGAUGUGUGUAUGGUAAAAAUUUGCUCCCAUUCUGUAGACUCUCUGUUCACCUCUUUGAUUGUUUCUUUUGCAGAGAAGAAGCUUUUCAGUUUAAAUCCAUCCCAUUUAUUAAUUCUUGAUUUUAUUUCUUGUGCUAUAGGA
rnacentral:lncRNA from 1 species